GCGGAAGUGGCGGAAUUGGCAGACGCGCAAGCCUCAGGAGCUUGUUGGAGCAAUCCAGUGGAGGUUCGAGUCCUCUCUUCCGCACCA
rnacentral:tRNA from 1 species